rnacentral:rRNA from 1 species
GGAGUCUGGGCCGUGUCUCAGUCCCAAUGUGGCCGUCCACCCUCUCAGGCCGGCUACCGAUCGUCGCCUUGGUGGGCCUCUAUCUCACCAACUAGCUAAUCGGACGCGGGCCCAUCGGAAAGCGGAUUGAAUCCUUUAGUACAAGAAACAUGCGUCUCUCGCACAACAUUCGGUAUUAGCACCCCUUUCGGGAUGUUGUCCCCAUCUUUCCGGCAGGUUGCCCACGCGUUACUCACCCGUUUGCCACUAGGCUCAUAAAAGCAAGCUUUCAUUCGCCCCGUUCGACUUGCAUGUGUUAAGCACGCCGCCAGCGUUCGUC